rnacentral:rRNA from 1 species
GACGAACGCUGGCGGCGUGCUUAACACAUGCAAGUCGAACGGUAAGGCCCUGCUUUUGUGGGGUGCUCGAGUGGGGAACGGGUGAGUAACACGUGAGUAACCUGCCCUCGACUUUGGGGUAACUUGAGGAAACUGGGGCUAAUACCGGAUAGGUGCUCCUGCUGCAGGGUGGGGGUUGGAAGGUUUCGGCGGUUGGGGAUGGACUCGUGUCUUAUCAGCUUGUUGGUGGGGUGGUGGCUUACCAUGGCUUUGACGGGUAGCCGGCCUGAGAGGGUGACCGGCCACAUUGGGACUGAGAUACGGCCCAGACUGCUGCGGGAGGCAGCAGUGGGGAAUAUUGCACAAUGGGCGGAAGCCUGAUGCAGCAACGCCGCGUGCGGGAUGACGGCCUUCGGGUUGUAAACCGCUUUCGCCUGUGACGAAGCGGGAGUGACGGUAAUGGGUAAAGAAGCACCGGCUAACUACGUG